GUGCUCCGGGGUCGGUGAAAGUCCGAACCGGCGGUGAUAGUCCGCGACCCGCCAGCUUUGGCGGCUGACUCGGUGGAAUUCCGGGACCGACGGUUACAGUCCGGAUGGGAGGAGC
rnacentral:ncRNA from 1 species